rnacentral:rRNA from 1 species
GUGGAUUAGAUACCCUAGUAGUCCACGCUGUAAACGAUGAGUGCUAGGUGUAGGGGAUUUCGACAUCCUCUGUGCCGCAGCAAACGCAAUAAGCACUCCGCCUGGGGAGUACGGUCGCAAGACUAAAACUCAAAGGAAUUGACGGGGGCCCGCACAAGCAGCGGAGCAUGUGGUUUAAUUCGAAGCAACGCGAAGAACCUUACCAGGACUUGACAUCGUCUGAAUAGUGCAGAGAUGCAUGAAGCCUUUCGGGGCAGAUAGACAGGUGGUGCAUGGCUGUCGCCAACU